AUCUGGAAAUCCCGCCGACGUCCGAAUUAUCUUGUUGUUUUCGUGGCUCGUAUCUAGACUGCUAAAUAAAAGUGAACCCAAUUCACUUCAGAGCACAGUCAACUUUGAGAUCUAGAGAGCAAACAUGUUCCUGAACAAAACUUGCGUCGUUCUCCUCGUCGCUUUCUUGGGGACCUCAUGGUUUACGGGAGUUGUUUCUGCGAGUCCGCGGCCGCAAGAGCCGCGUGUGGAUCAAAAUCCGAAUCAGGGGUCACCUAAAGGAGGGUCCGGGUACCACGCACCUCCGCAGUACCAACCACAGCCGUACUACCCACCUCCUCAGUAUUACCCACCGCAGCCACAAGCACCUCAGACACAGCCUACAAUCUUUAAAACGUGGGAUGAUAUACGUACAUACAUACAUAACCAGAGGCGUACAUACAUAAACAUAACAUAAAGACAGGCGUGAGCCUGUCUCCCAUGGGGGUAGGCAGAGACAAUGAAACGCCAAUUGCCACGGUUCUUACACACUUCUUUCGCUUCAUCAACAGUCAUCAGUCUUUUCAUGCAUGCUCGUCGGUUAAAGGUACUUUUAAUUUGGCCCUUUUUUAAUAUAUCGCCAAUCUGGUCGCUAUAUGUCCGUCUGGGGCGCCCUCUACCGACGGUCCCACUCAUAUUUGCCUUGUAUACUUCUUUCGUAAAUCUGUUUUCAUCCAUCCUUUCUACAUGUCCAAACCAUCGUAACAUUCCCCUUUCAAUCCUUGUCACUACAUCGUCUUUCAAACCACACUUUUCUCUAACAACACUAUUUUUUACUCGAUCACUCAGUUUUACUCCACACAUACUUCUCAAGGCUCUCAUUUCCACCGCAUUAAUCCUGCUUUCAUGCUUCUUCUGCCACACCCAUGAUUCACUACCAUACAUAAGUGUAGGUGCUAGUACACGCUGUAUUACCGCAAGUCGAGCUUUGCUGGAUAUAAUUUUACUCGACAUUACAGAGUGUAAAGCACCAUUGACACUAUUUCCCGCUUUCACUCUCCUUUCAAUAUCUCCCUUACACUUUCCAUCUCUCGUAAAUAAAGAACCUAGGUACACAAACUCAUUCACUUGUUCCAAUUUUUCAUCACCUAUCAUUACCUGGCAUUCUGUUACUAAUUCAUUCCUUUCUAUCACCAACACUUUCGUCUUGUUCACAUUGACUUUCAUACCUUUCCUUUCAAAAGCAUCAUUCAUCACAGUGAUCAUUCGUUGUAGUUCUUCGGCCGAUGAGGCAAUAAGUACCUGGUCGUCGGCGUACAACAAUGUUUUGAUUACUGUGUCACUCAUUCUUAACCCACACUCACCUACUUUCAAAUCGUUCAAACAACUGUCCAUGAAUAAGUUGAACAGCCAAGGAGAUGCUACACAGCCCUGUCUAACACCCCGAUUAAUGCCAAACCACUCCGUGUAGUCCCCAUUUAUCCUGACACAAGCACUCGAGUCCUUAUAUAAGGAUUUAAGUCCUUAUAUAAAAAUAUGGGAUGAUAUAUAUAAUGAAUUAUAUAAUGGUAACUGCUGUUUAAUUUUAAGGAGCUCCUAAGCUGACAUACUUGGCACUUAGCGAUAUUCUGGAUUUUUUGUGAACGUAUAAAUAAUAUCCAAAUGUAAAGAUUUUGCCAAGAAUUUCCUAAAAAUAUAAUUAUGUUAAAUUGAUAAAUGCUUGUUUUUAUUUUAUUAACCAAUUUAAUUGAAUGUAUGUUGUAUGGUGUAUUGUAGCUAAUGAGUUGAAAGUGGAACUUAAUACGCUGCGGGCAAUCUUGAAUCAACUUUUUAAGUAUGUAUUAGCUAAACUGUGAACCGCAUGUAAUAGAUUGUGAGCCUAUUGGCAUAGAUACACGGGACAAUACAAAAAAAUACACACAAUAUUGCACCUUACUGCUACAAGUUCUAAGGUCUAAAUAUAACAUACAUGUAUACAUAUACUAGUGAAAGUAGGUUAUAAAUCUCGACUCAGAAAUAUUGUUUGAAUUCGGGUAAAGGUUAAGAGUAUUGCAAUCCCUUCCCUCCAAUCAACAUUUAUGAGUUACGAGGGAAAAGAAAAACAAAAAUGUUUAAGAAUAAUAAGAUAUGGGUAGGAAAGCCAUAUAUUGUAUUCAUUCUGGUUCAGUAUUUAUCCUUUUUUGCUAAGUCGGAGUAUCAGGGAAUCAGGUGUAUCUGCUAGUUUUUUGGUAAUAGAAUUCAAGGAAUUGACGAGUAAUUUAAAAUCAACACAAGUAAGUAAUGGAAGAAGAAUAUUUUUUUUACAGGGGUCCUUUCUCUUUUCUUUACUGCCUUUAUUUUUUUCAGUCAGUAGAUAUCCCCAAACCUAAUGAAAAAUAUUAUGCUGAAAACUGCAUCAAAAUCAGUUUCGCCAAACGUGAGAUAAUUGUACGCAAACAUACAUACAUAAAAUAAUACAUACAUUACAUUUUAAAGUUUAAGGUGUAUUGUAGCUAAUGAGUUGAGAAACAAACCUAUGUAUGUAUUGUUUACAAAACUCAUUAUCACUAAAUAAGUGGGUAGACACAUCUCAAAUGUCAUGUAAUUUCUUGUAGUGAAGAAAUAGCCCUGGUAGCUAUCCACAACACAAUACAGGUAAGAAUCAACUAUUAGUUGGUAGAAAUUAUUAGCCUGUAUCAUAGCUGAGGAGCUAAGAAACAGACCUAUGUACUGUUCGCAAAACUCAUUAACUCACAACACUUAGUAUGUGUAGGUAGACAUUGCACAAUCCCAAGGGAUUUUUAUAGUAAAGAAAGAACCCUGGUAGCUAUCCACAGUACUGGUUAUGGUAAGAAACAGCCCUCAAGACUGUCCACAAUACCGUUUAGCAUUGUCUAUGAAUUGGAAACGGUACCUGUUUGUGACGGUAGGUACCUACUUAUAUCAAUCACAAGGAAAAAUAACGUAAAAUUUUUCAAUACUAACCAUUUUUAGUUGAUUACGUUGAAUCCUCUCCCGAUGAAUCUGAUGAACUGGACAAAAUACGCAAUCUACGGCGUCUUUUUGGGUUUUCAUCGAGUGUGUAACGACGUAAUUCCUCUUCAAUGUUUUUCAACUUUUUGAGUGAAUUACCAAAAUUUUUAUCUAAUAUCUUCCUCAUUAUCAACUCUACUGGUCUACAAAUUAUGUCUGCAGUAAUUUUGCGAUAAAACUUACCGUUUUCAAGAAAAUCGCGCAAGACCCAUUUUUGGACCUUCUUACCCCGCUACUGUUUUUCCUUAAACGGGAUCAAUUGGGACUUUUGACACAAUGUUUAUAAUUGUGAUUUGAAGGUUUGUACCAAUUUUCAGCUAGGAGUGAAUUUGUCGUGAGUUUGCUGAUUUUUUGGUCUCAUUUGACCGGACUGGUAUCGUGGGUGCGUUUACAAACAUACAAUUUCACACUCCCUGUGUCUGACUCUUGAUUACCAUCAGCAGGCCUUCCUUGACACAAUCCCUGAAGACCAGAGCAUCCGUUGGCGUGACAGGGACAUGGGGAGGAUCAUUAUUUAACAUACUCCGUCUCCUCCAUAACUGCUUCACUGUAAGUGGAGCCGACUUGAACCAGUGCCAGGCGCGAGAAGUCGCUUCUCUGAGUACACGGCGGCGCUCAGACCAAGCAGCACAAGCUACGAGUACCUCUAUGCUCCAUCGAUACCGAGGCGUUUAUUAUAUUGAAUCUCAAGUUUCCGAAGGGGUACAAAAAAUGAAACUAGGUUUAUCAUUAAGUAAUAAUUUAUUAUUAAAUAUAGGUAUACUAAAUAAAUUGGUCACAUAUGUAUAGCAGUUAUCACUCUGGAAAUCCCGCCGACGUCCGAAUUAUCUUGUUGUUUUCGUGGCUCGUAUCUAGACUGCUAAAUAAAAGUGAACCCAAUGAACUUCAGAGCACAGUCAACUUUGAGAUCUAGAGAGCAAACAUGUUCCUGAACAAAACUUGCGUCGUUCUCCUCGUCGCUUUCUUGGGGACCUCAUGGUUUACGGGAGUUGUUUCUGCGAGUCCGCGGCCGCAAGAGCCGCGUGUGGAUCAAAAUCCGAAUCAGGGGUCACCUAAAGGAGGGUCCGGGUACCACGCACCUCCGCAGUACCAACCACAGCCGUACUACCCACCUCCUCAGUAUUACCCACCGCAGCCACAAGCACCUCAGACACAGCCUACAAUCUUUAAAACGUGGGAUGAUAUACGUACAUACAUACAUAACCAGAGGCGUACAUACAUAAACAUAACAUAAAGACAGGCGUGAGCCUGUCUCCCAUGGGGGUAGGCAGAGACAAUGAAACGCCAAUUGCCACGGUUCUUACACACUUCUUUCGCUUCAUCAACAGUCAUCAGUCUUUUCAUGCAUGCUCGUCGGUUAAAGGUACUUUUAAUUUGGCCCUUUUUUAAUAUAUCGCCAAUCUGGUCGCUAUAUGUCCGUCUGGGGCGCCCUCUACCGACGGUCCCACUCAUAUUUGCCUUGUAUACUUCUUUCGUAAAUCUGUUUUCAUCCAUCCUUUCUACAUGUCCAAACCAUCGUAACAUUCCCCUUUCAAUCCUUGUCACUACAUCGUCUUUCAAACCACACUUUUCUCUAACAACACUAUUUUUUACUCGAUCACUCAGUUUUACUCCACACAUACUUCUCAAGGCUCUCAUUUCCACCGCAUUAAUCCUGCUUUCAUGCUUCUUCUGCCACACCCAUGAUUCACUACCAUACAUAAGUGUAGGUGCUAGUACACGCUGUAUUACCGCAAGUCGAGCUUUGCUGGAUAUAAUUUUACUCGACAUUACAGAGUGUAAAGCACCAUUGACACUAUUUCCCGCUUUCACUCUCCUUUCAAUAUCUCCCUUACACUUUCCAUCUCUCGUAAAUAAAGAACCUAGGUACACAAACUCAUUCACUUGUUCCAAUUUUUCAUCACCUAUCAUUACCUGGCAUUCUGUUACUAAUUCAUUCCUUUCUAUCACCAACACUUUCGUCUUGUUCACAUUGACUUUCAUACCUUUCCUUUCAAAAGCAUCAUUCAUCACAGUGAUCAUUCGUUGUAGUUCUUCGGCCGAUGAGGCAAUAAGUACCUGGUCGUCGGCGUACAACAAUGUUUUGAUUACUGUGUCACUCAUUCUUAACCCACACUCACCUACUUUCAAAUCGUUCAAACAACUGUCCAUGAAUAAGUUGAACAGCCAAGGAGAUGCUACACAGCCCUGUCUAACACCCCGAUUAAUGCCAAACCACUCCGUGUAGUCCCCAUUUAUCCUGACACAAGCACUCGAGUCCUUAUAUAAGGAUUUAAGUCCUUAUAUAAAAAUAUGGGAUGAUAUAUAUAAUGAAUUAUAUAAUGGUAACUGCUGUUUAAUUUUAAGGAGCUCCUAAGCUGACAUACUUGGCACUUAGCGAUAUUCUGGAUUUUUUGUGAACGUAUAAAUAAUAUCCAAAUGUAAAGAUUUUGCCAAGAAUUUCCUAAAAAUAUAAUUAUGUUAAAUUGAUAAA